rnacentral:rRNA from 1 species
AUACGGAGGGUGCGAGCGUUACUCGGAGUCACUGGGCGUAAAGCGUCCGUAGGCGGUCGGGUAAGUCGGGUGUGAAAGCCCCGGGCUCAACCUGGGAAGUGCACCCGAUACUGCUCGACUCGAGUGCGGGAGAGGAUGGCGGAAUUCCCGGUGUAGCGGUGAAAUGCGUAGAGAUCGGGAGGAACACCAGUGGCGAAGGCGGCCAUCUGGCCCGCAAUUGACGCUGAGGGACGAAAGCGUGGGGAGCAAACAGGAUUAGAAACCCCAGUAGUCC